rnacentral:rRNA from 1 species
GACGAACGCUGGCGGCGUGCCUAAUACAUGCAAGUAGAACGCUGAAGGAGGAGCUUGCUUCUCCGGAUGAGUUGCGCACGGGUGAGUAACGCGUAGGUAACCCGCCUGGUAGCGGGGGAUAACUAUUGGAAACGAUAGCUAAUACCGCAUAACAGUAGAUGUUGCAUGACAUUUGCUUAAAAGGUGCAAUUGCAUCACUACCAGAUGGACCUGCGUUGUAUUAGCUAGUUGGUGAGGUAACGGCUCACCAAGGCGACGAUACAUAGCCGACCGGAGAGGGGGGUCGGCCACACUGGGACUGAGACACGGCCCAGACUCCUACGGGAGGGAGCAAUAGGGAAUCUUCGGCAAUGGACGGAAGUCUGACCGAGCAACGGCGCGUGAGUGAAGAAGGUUUUCGGAUCGUAAAGCUCUGUUGUAAGGGAAGAACGAGUGUGAGAGUGGAAAGUUCACGCUGUGACGGUAUCUUACCAGAAAGGGACGGCUAACUACGUG